CAGUAGCCGCGGUAAUACAGAGGAUGCAAGCGUUAUCCGGAAUUAUUGGGCGUAAAGGGCUCGCAGGCGGUUUCUUAAGUCUGAUGUGAAAGCCCCCGGCUCAACCGGGGAGGGUCAUUGGAAACUGGGAAACUUGAGUGCAGAAGGGGAGAGUGGAAUUCCACGUGUAGCGGUGAAAUGCGUAGAGAUGUGGAGGAACACCAGUGGCGAAGGCGACUCUCUGGUCUGUAACUGACGCUGAGGAGCGAAAGCGUGGGGAGCGAACAGGAUUAGAUACCCCAGUAGUCCCUGUCUCUUAUAC
rnacentral:rRNA from 1 species